CGAGAUGAAAAGAUUUCAUCAAAAUGGUGACACCUUGGUUUUUACGUGUACAGGACUGACGUUGAUUUUAUUACAUGUCUCCUUAUUAUCACUAGGUGUCACAACACAACAAUUUUGAUAUUAUAUUAAUGCAGUAUCAAAUGUUAUGUGAUGACGACUGAUCAAUCCAAUUUUCAUGUCCAUGUAGAUCACUGUCAUUUCCAAGUGCCUUGCCCUGCAAGAGUCUGUGCGUGAUGCAGCAGAUUUAUUUCUCUCGUUGAAGUAUCCACCAUUACUUUUCAUUUGCGAUACGCCCUGUGGUUUUGCCAGGCAUAUUGAUUGCCGUGCACCUGAUGUGGGAAAAAAACUGUGGGGAAAGUUCAGUGGAUGUUUUGAGAUUCUUGACAGCGACAGGUCACCAUCACAGGGGAAGAGUGUCCCUCAUAUUGUACCUUCAGAGUACCUUGCCAGCUCUGUACCUCUCCAUCGUCAAUCACACGAAGAUGAACCUCUGAUGCAUCCCAUAUCUGGAGAUUGCAGACGAUACAUACUUGGUGAUCGAUUCCAUUCAGCAAGCAAUCCACAUAAAUCACCUUUAUGUGCAUUUCACAACAUUAACCUAUGCUUACAAGCCAAUAGCGUGAAGACAAGCUAUCAGGAGAGUGAAAAUAAUCGCAAGAACAUUUGUAGACUGCGAAGUGCCUGUGUUCAAGGUUUUGGGGUCCAUUUCCUGUACAACUUCCUCAUGGACUUUUAUCCAAACGAACAGAUUGUACGCAGACAGGUUGCUACACUGAAGAAAAAUACACAAGGCAAUUGUGAUAUUGUUAGAGAUGAAUUUAUGUGUUUUACUUUUAAGCAACCUGUAUCAAAGAAGUAAUUUCAGCAUUAAGGAGUAUCUGUACUGGAUUGUUGGCAAUAAUUUCAAGCUAUACAAAUAAAUUACAUUCUCCAUUUGGGGCUCAAAUAUUGGUAUUUGCCUGUGGAUAUCUGUUCACAGAAACGAAUAGUUUUCCUAGAGCAAAAUAUUUGUACAUACUUAAGCAAAAUUGAGAUUACCGUAUUUAUUAUCUUUUAACUGUUUUUACGAAUACUUCUGUGAGACAAGAAAGAAGAGGAAGUGGAACAAGAACUGAAUGCCAUGUGGGAUGAGCAGGAUGACAUCAAUGACUAACUCUUGUGCAACUUUAAAUAGUUUCCACCCUCGCAAAACUCGCAUCUUGCGUAUGCUCAGUUUAACAAGACAUACUAUCUUCCUUGCAUUCUUCCAACGUAAAAAUGCACACAUGUCGCUUGUAAAUAGUGUAUAUAUUGCUGGGCACAUCCAAUUUGUAAAAUUUGGAAUUUUGAGAAAUAGAGUUGUUAAAAACCAA